rnacentral:rRNA from 1 species
AGUGAACGCUGGUGGUAGGCCUAACACAUGCAAGUCGAACGGCAGCACAGUAAGAGCUUGCUCUUACGGGUGGCGAGUGGCGGACGGGUGAGGAAUACAUCGGAAUCUACUUUUUCGUGGGGGAUAACGUAGGGAAACUUACGCUAAUACCGCAUACGACCUACGGGUGAAAGCAGGGGAUCUUCGGACCUUGCGCGAUUGAAUGAGCCGAUGUCGGAUUAGCUAGUUGGCGGGGUAAAGGCCCACCAAGGCGACGAUCCGUAGCUGGUCUGAGAGGAUGAUCGGCCACACUGGAACUGGGACACGGUCCAGACUCCUACGGGAGGCAGCAGUGGGGAAUAUUGGACAAUGGGCGCAAGCCUGAUCCAGCCAUACCGCGUGGGUGAAGAAGGCCUUCGGGUUGUAAAGCCCUUUUGUUGGGAGAGAAAAGCAGCAGGUUAAUACCCCGCUGUUCUGACGGUACCCAAAGAAUAAGCACCGGCUAACUUCGUG